UACGUAGGUGGCAAGCGUUGUCCGGAUUCAUUGGGCGUAAAGCGCACGCAGGCGGUUCGUUAAGUCCAGGGUGAAAUCCCCCGGCUCAACUGGGGAACUGCACAGGAAACUAGCGGGCUUGAGUUCGGGAGAGGGAAGCGGAAUUCCGGGUGUAGCGGUGAAAUGCGUAGAUAUCGGGAGGAACAUCAGUGGCGAAGGCGGCUGCCUGGCCCAAUACUGACACUCAGGUGCGACAGCGUGGGGAGCAAACAGG
rnacentral:rRNA from 1 species